ensembl:lncRNA
UGUCCAAUCCCUGUUAUCCCUGUUUCCAAUCCUUGUUUCCAAUCCCUGUUAUCCCUGUUUCCAGUCCCUGUUAUCCCUGUUUCCAGUCCCUAUUAUCCCUGUGUCCAACCCCUGCUAUCCCUGUUUCCAAUCCCUGUAUCCCUGUUAUCCCUGUUUCCAAUCCCUGUUAUCCCUGUGUCCAAUUCCUGUUUCCAAUCCCUAUUAUUCCCAUGUCCAAUCCCUGUUAUCCCUGUGUCCAAUCCCUGUGUCCAAUCCCUGUUAUCCCUGUUUCCAAUCCCUGUUAUCCCCGUGUCCAAUCCCUGUUUCCAAUCCCCAGAGCCGGAAAGCGCCUCGGGAAGCGGAAGAAUUCCCUGGAAGGGGCGCUGGGAUCCGGCUAAAUGACGGGAUAGGAGGCGUAGCUGGCGAUGCCGCAGCGGUUGGCAGCGUUCCGGGCCAUCCGGAUGUAUCCCGAGUCUCCAAACCAGACCCCCCAGCUCCGGGAAAACAGGGAAGAAAGACACGGAAAAAACCUCAAUUCCGGCUUUUCCCGGGCGGAUUCACCGACAUCCGGAUACGGGAGGGGGGUUGGAGUAGAUGGAUCCGUGGGGUUCCCGCUCCCGGGAAUCGUGGAAGGGGGUUAUGGAAUUGUGGGAUGAGCCAAUGGAAUCGUGGGAUGGGGUUAUGGAAUCGUGGAAGGGGGUUAUGGAAUUGUGGGAUGAGCCAAUGGAAUCGUGGGAUGGGGUUAUGGAAUCGUGGAAGGGGGUUAUGGAAUUGUGGGAUGAGCCAAUGGAAUCGUGGGAUGGGGUUAUGGAAUCGUGGGAUGAGUCAAUGGAAUCAUGGAAUGGGUUAUGGAAUUGUGGAAUGGGGUUAUGGAAUCAUGGAAUGGGUUAUGGAAUUGUGGAAUGGGGUUAUGGAAUCGUGGGAUGAGCCAAUGGAAUCGUGGAAUGAGUCAAUGGAAUCAUGGAAUGGGGUUAUGGAAUCAUGGAAUGGGUUAUGGAAUCAUGGGAUGGGGUUAUGGAAUCAUGGAAUGGGUUAUGGAAUCGUGGGAUGAAUCAAUGGAAUCGUGGAAUGAGCCAAUGGAAUCAUGGAAUGGGGUUAUGGAAUUGUGGGAUGAGUCAAUGGAAUCAUGGAAUGGGUUUGGAAUUGUGGAAUGAGUCAAUGGAAUCAUGGAAUGGGUUAUGGAAUCGUGGGAUGAGUCAAUGGAAUUGUGGAAUGGGGUUAUGGAAUCAUGGAAUGGGGUUAUGGAAUCGUAGAAUGGGUUAUGGAAUCGUGGGAUGAGCCAAUGGAAUCAUGGAAUGAGUCAAUGGAAUCGUGGAAUGAGCCAAUGGAAUCACGGAUCUGGGCAAUUCCAAGUAUAAAAUCACGGAAUUCCGGCACGGCUUGGGUUGAGAGGGACAUUAUGGAUCAACAUUCCAACCCCCCUUCCGUGUUCCAAGAGGUCAAGGAGCACCUGAGGGACACAGGAUGAGGGGGGAGGGAGGGGAUUUUGGGGGGACUCUGAUCCCUGUGGGUCCCUUCCAACUGGGAAUAUUCCAGGAUUUCUCCCCCCCCUUGGAUAUUCACCUGUUCUUCACCAGCCAGUAUUCCUUGUUUUCAG